CUCAACUCAAGACAAAGCCCCUAUCACGCCAUCAUCUCCGAACCAAGACAAAGUGCCUAUCAUGCCAUCAUCACCAUUUCAACUCUACUCCAAGCAAUCCUCACUACCUCCACCAAGAGCACCACUCUUCUUCAACUCUCCCUUUUCAAUUGGAGUCGUGUGAUUUUGAGUCUAAAAAACUUUAUGCAACUGCACUGUCC
rnacentral:lncRNA from 1 species